GAAGGGAACGCUGUAACCCUGACAGGGAUGACUUUGGGAGGAGGACGCGGAGAGGCAAAGCCGGCAGCUGAGAGCCACUCCUGGAGCCGUGUGCUGGGAGGCUUGAUGGCAGGAGGGGUGAUGGGUGCCAGCACGUGAGGCUCUCCCGGCGUGUUGGGUCCCCUCUCCUGCUCACCUGCUGGAAGCACAGCCUGAAAUCAUCUUCCCUGGCAGGCUGCAGAGGAACUUUCCUGCUGGCUUCUUCUGGCUCUGAUCCCUCCUGACACACGCUGCCUGCCCUGCAGAUGGAGCGGCUGCAACCCAGCACCAUGCGCGCCCUCAGCCUCAUCCUGCCCUCGUCUCGCUGAGCUCUGAGCAUCCACAGCAGAGGGAAAGCCGCGGGGACACGCAGUCUUUGCAGUCAUUUCCAAGGCACAGGGCUUAGGCAGGACUGUGCCGGGUAAACCUGUGCUCUCAUCUCCCAGAUUAAACCAAUUAGCACCACAGAAGAGGUCUGUGCUUGCAGCUGCUGAGCCUGACUCUCCUUGUGCUCGUGCUGAUUCAAGCCAGGAAUAAAUAAAGUCCAUAAAG